rnacentral:rRNA from 1 species
GACGAACGCUGGCGGCUUGCUUAACAAAUGCAAUUCGAACGGAGUGGCGAACGGUUGAGUAACACGUGGGUAAUUUGCCUUUCCCUUGGGGUUAAUCUUGGAAAACUUGGUUAAUUCCCGAUUAGUGCAAGAUGAGCUCCCGGCUAAUCAGCUUGUUGGUGGGGUAAUGGCUUACCAAGCCGUCGACGGGUAGCCGGCCUGAGAGGGUGUACGGCCACAUUGGGACUGAGAGACGGAGCAGACUCCUAUGGGAGGCAGCAGUGGGGAAUAUUGCACAACGGGCGGAAGUCUGAUGCAGCGACGUCGCGUGGGUGAUGAAGGCCGUCGGGUUGUAAACUCCUUGCGACAGGUACGCGGUACCUGUAUAAGAAGCACCGGCUAACUACGUGCCAGCCGCCGCGGUAAUUC